rnacentral:rRNA from 1 species
GAUGAACGCUGGCGGCGUGCCUAACACAUGCAAGUCGAACGGAGUCGUUUAGGAAAAUCCUUCGGGAUUGGAAUUCUCGACUUAGUGGCGGACGGGUGAGUAACGCGUGAGCAAUCUGCCUUUAAGAGGGGGAUAACAGUCGGAAACGGCUGCUAAUACCGCAUAAAGCAUUGAAUUCGCAUGUUUUCGAUGCCAAAGGAGCAAUCCGCUUUUAGAUGAGCUCGCGUCUGAUUAGCUAGUUGGCGGGGUAACGGCCCACCAAGGCGACGAUCAGUAGCCGGACUGAGAGGUUGAACGGCCACAUUGGGACUGAGACACGGCCCAGACUCCUACGGGAGGCAGCAGUGGGGAAUAUUGCGCAAUGGGGGAAACCCUGACGCAGCAACGCCGCGUGAUUGAAGAAGGCCUUCGGGUUGUAAAGAUCUUUAAUCAGGGACGAAAAAUGACG